rnacentral:rRNA from 1 species
UACGUAGGCAGCGAGCGUUGUUCGGAAUUACUGGGCGUAAAGAGUGUGUAGGCGGUGCUCUAAGUUCGGUGUGAAAUCUCCCGCUUAACUGGGAGGGUGCGCCGGAACUGGAGUGCUCGAGCGUGGGAGAGGAAAGCGGAAGUUCCUGGUGUAGCGGUGAAAUGCGUAGAUAUCAGGAGGAACACCUGCGGUGUAGACGGCUUUCUGGACCAUUGCUGACGCUGGAGACACGAAAGCGUGGGUAGCAAACAGG